rnacentral:rRNA from 1 species
GCUAGUACAGGUGGUGCAUGGCUGUCGUCAGCUCGUGUCGUGAGAUCGUUGGGUUAAGUCCCGCAACGAGCGCAACCUUACCUUAGUUGUUUCCCGAAAGGAUUACCCUCUAAGGGGACUGCCCCGGACAACGGGAGGAAGGUGGGGAUGACGUCAAGUCCUCAUGGCCCUUAUAGGUGGGGCUACACACGUCAUACAAUGGCUGGUACAAAGGGUUGCCAACCCGCGAGGGGGAGCCAAUCCCAUAAAGCCAGUCGUAGUCCGGAUCGCAGUCUGCAACUCGACUGCGUGAAGUCGGAAUCGCUAGUAAUCGUGGAUCAGCAUGUCACGGUGAAUACGUUCCCGGGUCUU